rnacentral:rRNA from 1 species
CGACGGCAUGGUUUGGCACCUCGAUGUCGGCUCGUCGCAUCCUGGGGCUGGAGUAGGUCCCAAGGGUUGGGCUGUUCGCCCAUUAAAGCGGCACGCGAGCUGGGUUUAGAACGUCGUGAGACAGUUCGGUCCCUAUCCGCCGCGCGCGCAGGAGUCUUGAGGAGGGCUGUCCCUAGUACGAGAGGACCGGGAUGGACGAACCUCUGGUGUGCCAGUUGUCCUGCCAAGGGCACGGCUGGUUGGCUACGUUCGGAAGAGAUAACCGCUGAAAGCAUCUAAGCGGGAAGCUCGCUCCAAGAUGAGGACUCCCACAGGGUUAACCUGGUAAGGCCCCCAGCGAGAACACUGGGUUGAUAGGCCGGAAGUGGAAGCGCAGCAAUGCGUGCAGCUGACCGGUACUAAUAGGCCGAGGACUUGACUCUU